rnacentral:rRNA from 1 species
UACGGAGGGUGCAAGCGUUAUCCGGAUUCACUGGGUUUAAAGGGUGCGUAGGUGGGUUUGUAAGUCAGUGGUGAAAUCUCCAAGCUUAACUUGGAACUGCCGUUGAUACUAUAAAUCUUGAAUGUUGUGGAGGUGAGCGGAAUAUGUCAUGUAGCGGUGAAAUGCUUAGAUAUGACAUAGAACACCAAUUGCGAAGGCAGCUCACUAACACAAAGAUUGACA